GUGCACGCACGCGGGAGAGAAAGAGAGAGAGAGAGCGCUUUGGCUCCUCCUUUUAUAUGUUUUUCCUCCACCUGGGCCUGCACUAUGCAAAUUGGGCUUAGCCAGGAGAGUUGUUUGUUCUACCUGAAGUCUUCACUCUGGUCCUCGGACCUUCCUUGUCUUUUAGCCACCGCCAUUUUGGACUCCUUUUCCCUACUCUACCUACCUAACACUUUGGUUCAAAUAGGAAGCCCAAAGCAGGUAAACUAAGAUUUAGCAAUUAGUGUUGCAGUACUCUAUCUUACUGUUUUUUUUUUAAUUUUAAUUUAAUGUAAUUUAAUUUUUUGGCUGCUCCACAAGUCUUGCAGGAUCUUAGUUCCCCAGCCAGGGAUGGAACCUGUGACUCCAGCAAUGAAAAUGCCCAAGUCCUAACUACUGGAUCUCCAGGGAAUCCCCACAUGAUCUUAUAUUCAGUUAGGCCAUCAUUUGACUUAACUGAGUAGACCUUCAAAGUUACCAGAAAAGAUUUUGGAAACUAUUUUAAAGUAGACAUAUUUUAUAAAACAUCAUCCUUGUUGAAAACUUUGUAAGUUUCAUCUCUGGUUUAUUUAACUUGCUUGUUCUUAACCAUUAUGCUUAGAUUACUUUAAAAAAUUUCAUGAAAUAUUAAAGUCAUCAAAAUUUUUCUUGCUGACAGAUUUUGUAACAUAUGUGUAUACCAGGCAAAUAUCCAAUACUAAAGUGCUGGGGAAUCUCCCAGGACCUUCUGAAAGUCUGUUUGCAUGUGAAGAGGGAAUGUGUAAGUUUUCUGACUGUUUUCAGCCUGUACUUGAGCCUGAGAGUUCUGAGGGCAUUUAGAUCUAAAGAAAGCUCGGGCAAGUCUGGACUUGUCUUGCGGGCCCAACCUUUCUGGGUCUAUUUGCAUAACGAUAAUGAACAGUUCUUAACAGUACAGAGUUAAUUGCAAGGAAGAAAAGAGCCUUGUAAAGAGAAUUUACCAGAAUUUCUUGCAGGCAGCUGAAGCUGCUCAAUGUUACUAAAUACAAUAUAGAAUCUUGAAUAAGGUGUGAGACAGAUAAUGGACAGUAGCAUAAAAUUUUUUGAAAUUUGAACAAAAUCUGUGCUUUUAAUUUUCCUUCUUAUGGCUUCUUAGCUA
ensembl:lncRNA